AUUGAACGCUGGCGGCAUGCUUUACACAUGCAAGUCGAACGGCAGCACGGGUGCUUGCACCUGGUGGCGAGUGGCGGACGGGUGAGUAAUACAUCGGAACGUGUCCAGAAGAGGGGAGUAACGCAUCGAAAGAAUGUGCUAAUACCGCAUAUGCUCUGAGGAGGAAAGUAGGGGGAGUCGAAAGACCUUACGCUUUGGGUCGGCCGAUGUCUGAUUAGCUAGUUGGUGGGUAAGGGCCUACCAAGGCGACGAUCAGUAGUUGGUCUGAGAGGACGACCAGCCACACUGGGACUGAGACACGGCCCAGACUCCUACGGGAGGCAGCAGUGGGGAAUUUUGGACAAUGGGCGCAAGCCUUGAUCCAGCAAUUGCC
rnacentral:rRNA from 1 species